GAAGAUCAUCGGAUGCGUGACGCAACAGCUGUAGACAUCGCGGUCAUAGACCUCCUCCUCCUCCUCCUCCUCGUGAGAUUCGGGCACAGACAGACACGGUACAGGCAACCACGUUCGCUUGUUGUUCGGAUAUGAUUCUGCCUGAUUCGAGCGUUUCGCGCCGCUUGUCUCGUCUGGUAGUGUGGGUUCCGUUCCGUUCAUGACCAUCGCCAGCAAACGCCGCUUGCGUUUUGGGUCUCGCAGGAAUUGAUCUGGGAUGCGUGGUUUGAUUGAUUGGGGGGUGGCUGGGAUGUGUUUCUGAAAAUGUGGCGAGAGGGCUGCGAUUUCCUGAUGGGUUGUGCUCUGUAGGGAGGUUGAAUUGAUUUUAGAGGUGGGUUCCUGCGCGUGGUAGAAUUGCGCUCGGGGUAUGUAGAGGAGACUGGAUUACGCUUUUGAAUUGGGGUGGCGGGGAUCCCGACCUAAAUUUUUUUGCGAGAGUUCCGAUAAUGUGGCCUCAGCUCGCGUGUGAUAAGGUUUGUGCGACAUGGGUGAUGAAUCCCGCAGGCUUGAGAAAUGACAAGUCACAUGUGGCCGUCGUGACUGUGAGUGCUUUUCCAAGGGCAAUGCUGCGGCAGUGGGAAUGGCACAGGUGUUUGGUGCAUGCGGCGAGGUAUAGGACGCGCAGAAGGCAUCUUGCACUGGGCCGAUUCGCUGCUAUGAGUGGGAACCAGGCAGCGGAGAUUGAGCAAUCCAAAUCGAUCAGAAAUCUGGACGGGGAAGGAAGUGCUGAUUUGAGAGGGGAGGACCGUUUGCUGUCCUCCGUGGGGACAGCUGCCCUGGCUCCGGCCUCGUUUCGGGAUUGGUAUUUGGCUGACAAGCAGCUCGUGGUUGUUUCUGUUGUUGGUUUCGCCACUGCGGGAUUUAUGGCCAUUUUGCUUGCAGCGGCUGUUCCAAGUCUGUUGGCAAUCAAGAAGGCGGCGGAAUCACUUGAGAAGCUGGCUGACACAGCGAGGGAAGAGCUGCCUGGCACCAUGGCGGCUAUUAGGUUGUCAGGCAUGGAGAUCAGCGACCUCACAAUGGAGCUCAACGAGUUAGGGCAAGAGAUUUCUAAGGGAGUUCGAAGUUCAACACGUGUUCUUUCAUCUACGGGGUCUGGGAUGCGGCAAGGAGGUGGUGUUGCUUCUAGUGGUGAGAACUGAUUUGUGCUUUCGUACAGCUGUCAUAAGAUGACAUAAAUCCUAAAAAAUAUCAUGCACAAAGAUGAAACGCAAUGGUAUAACGUACAUCAUGCCGCUCUUUCAAGACAGCAAUGUCAGAGCUCAUCUUUUCAAACUGAACAGGCGGUUCUUCCAGUGCAAGCAAUGCAACUUCAAGUGGCUCCGACCGUAAAACGAGCGCAUGAAAGUCUUAUCCAAACUCGAGUAGUUGCCCACAACUUGCAAGUUCUGUGUCGGUUCUCAACAGACUAGAGCUGGAUCAAAGGCCUCAAUGAUCGACAUCCAUUGCGCUCGUUGUCUUUUCCUCUGGAAGUAGAUUUGACGCAGGAUAGAAGUUAGUUCUGCAUUUGCCGAUCCCGUCAGCGAGAAGGGCUAUCUGAGGAUUGUGGUGGCCUUUGCUACUCUAGGGUCGUAAAUGAUUUGUUUGGAGUGUGCAAUUUAACACAUGGUGGACUUUUUGUUCCAAAUUUGGGUCUUGUAAUACAUUCUGGAGGAGUGCAUUGUAAUCUAAAAUCUGCGGCGCUCAAUUUACUCA